CCUUCGGCAGCGGCGGUCUACUCGUCUUCUUCCUCAGGCGUUGCGUGAACGCCGGAGUGGCUGUCUCCUCCUCCUCCUCCCCCAGCGGGCAGGGCUCAAGAGGAGUGCAUGGGAGCUCUCUCACCCCCACUCUCUGUCUCUCUCUCUCUCCCUCUUUACUCCCUCCCUCACCCACGUUUGUUUCUUCACGGGGUGAUGAGGGAGCAGAGGCAGAGGAGGUGCGUGGCAGUCCAAGAAGCACCGGCUGCCCCUUCGCUCUCUCAGUUCCCCUACCGCCGGGUCAUUGAUUUCUCCUUCCCUUCUUUUCCUCGUUGUCCCGGGAUAAGGUUACAGUCAUCGAUGUGAUGAUUUAUUUAAUGUUGGAUAAUGUAAUUCUCGAAAAAAAAUCCUGGGACUCUCCGGCUACCAAUCCAAGAGAGGCGCAAGCUAUUCCGGCGGUCUGAAGGCGCUGCUGGCCUUUGCACGACAUGUCCAACAGCUGGCACAUGGCACCAGGAAAGACACAUGGCGGGCCCAGAGCCAGGUACAGUUAGUUGAGAGAGCCCUGGCCUAGGUUAGCAACAGAUAGUGAGGAUUCAAAUCUCCACAAAGAACUAAAGAUUCCACAUGAAUGUAAGUCACAUGAAAGGUAAAGGGGAUUGGUAAACAGGAACCAAACACAUUCAAAUAUUACCCGGAGCAGCGGCCGAGUUUGAAUAAUGUGUUGGUAUUUGAUGAAUGUUGGAAAAAUAAAUAAAAGUUGACUCACUUCAA